CUUGUAAAUUGGGUUUGAAAUAGUUCUGCCCUUUAAGGAAGUUCAGGUGGUUUAACACGUUCACCAGGAGACCCUAUUUUGCCGUAAUCUAUAUGUCUCGCUGCCAGGCAGCUCGAACCACCGGUGGUGCAUGCGCAAUUGUGUACCCCUUGUACCAACAGUGGUCCGAGCUGGCCAAUGGGACGGUCACGCACAUACCACUGCUGGUUCAAGAUGGUGGGAACGUGUUAAUUGUGAGUCGUGUCUUCACUUCCGGAACUGAAACCUCUACAGGGGCACUGAAAGUGAGAAAGGACCAGCUAGUACUUAGCUUCAAUCCUGUUCAGUGUUGCUGGGAGAUAACAAAUCGGCAGGCUCAGAACAAGCAGAGGCUCCCCAGCAAAGGUGCGAAGACCAUUAGGGCUUCCAGGAGACCCUCACCUUAGCACGGAGGAAUGAAGCACCAACAGUUUUUCUCUCAGGUGGACCGGAAGAAGGUACGUGGAGCACCAGGCUUAAAAUCAGAGAGGAAGGUGCCUGGAAAGAUAGGGAGCCCUGCCACAGGCCCCAGAGAGCUGCGCACACCCACACGAAUGACAACUCAGAGGUCUCAGGAUUGCUGGGACGAGGCACACAGC
rnacentral:lncRNA from 1 species